rnacentral:rRNA from 1 species
GAUGAACGCUGGCGGCGUGCCUAAUACAUGCAAGUCGAACGCUGGAAAUCUAGCUUGCUGGCUUGAAGGAGUGGCGAACGGGUGAGUAAUACAUAAGCAACCUACCCACGAAGACUGGGAUAAUCUCUGGAAACGGGGACUAAUACCGGAUAGGUAAUCGGAAGGCAUCUUCUGAUUAUUAAAGGUUAAAAACACUGGUGGAUGGGCUUAUGGCGCAUUAGUUAGUUGGUGAGGUAACGGCCCACCAAGACGAUGAUGCGUAGCCGGCCUGAGAGGGUGAACGGCCACAUUGGGACUGAGACACGGCCCAGACUCCUACGGGAGGCAGCAGUAGGGAAUUUUCGGCAAUGGGGGAAACCCUGACCGAGCAACGCCGCGUGAGUGAUGACGGCCUUCGGGUUGUAAAGCUCUGUUGUAAGGGAAGAACGGUAGAUAGAGAAUAUCUAAAUGACGGUACCUUACCAGAAAGCCACGGCUAACUACGUG